rnacentral:rRNA from 1 species
AGAGUUUGAUCCUGGCUCAGAAUCAACGCUGGCGGCGUGCCUAACACAUGCAAGUCGAACGCGAAAGCCCCGCAAGGGGUAAGUAGAGUGGCAAACGGSUGAGUAACACGUGGGUGACCUGCCUUCGAGUGGGGGAUAACGUCCCGAAAGGGACGCUAAUNCCGCAUGACAUCCUGCUCUUGGACGAGCGGAGAUCAAAGCUGGGGAUCGCAAGACCUGGCGCUUGAAGAGGGGCCCGCGCCUGAUUAGCUAGUUGGUGAGGUAAUGGCUCACCAAGGCUACGAUCAGUAUCCGGCCUGAGAGGGCGGACGGACACACUGGGACUGAGACACGGCCCAGACUCCUACGGGAGGCAGCAGUGGGGAAUUGUUCGCAAUGGGCGCAAGCCUGACGACGCAACGCCGCGUGGAGGACGAAGAUCUUCGGGUCGUAAACUCCUGUCGAGCGGGAAGAAACCCAUGGGGAUGAAUAAUCUCUGUGGCUGACGGUACCGCUAAAGGAAGCCCCGGCUAACUCCGUGCCAGCAGCCGCGGUAAUACGGGGGGGGCAAGCGUUGUUCGGAAUUACUGGGCGUAAAGGGCUCGUAGGCGGCCAACUAAGUCGKAUGUGAAAUCCCCAGGCUUAACCUGGGAACUGCAUCCGAUACUGGAUGGCUUGAAUCCGGGAGAGGGAUGCAGAAUUCCAGGUGUAGCGGUGAAAUGCGUAGAUAUCUGGAGGAAUACCGGUGGCGAAGGCGGCAUCCUGGACCGGCAUUGACGCUGAUGAGCGAAAGCUAGGGGAGCAAACGGGAUUAGAUACCCCGGUAGUCCUAGCCCUAAACGAUGAAUGCUUGGUGUGACGGGUAUCGAUCCCUGUCGUGCCGAAGCUAACGCAUUAAGCAUUCCGCCUGGGGAGUACGGUCGCAAGGCUGAAACUUAAAGGAAUUGACGG